rnacentral:rRNA from 1 species
CCUACGGGAGGCAGCAGUGGGGAAUAUUGCACAAUGGGGGAAACCCUGAUGCAGCGACGCCGCGUGAGUGAAGAAGUACUUCGGUAUGUAAAGCUCUAUCAGCAGGGAAGAAAUAAAGUCCUUCGGACUUUGGACGGUACCUGACUAAGAAGCCUCGGCUAACUACGUGCCAGCAGCCGCGGUAAUACGUAGGGGGCAAGCGGUAUCUGGAUUUACUGGGUGUAAAGGGAGCGUAGACGGCAGCGCAAGUCUGGGGUGAAAUCCAAUGGCUUAACCAUGGAAAUGCUUUGGAAACUGGGCAGCUGGAGUGCAGGAGAGGUAAGCGGAAUUCCUGGUGUGGCGGUGAAGUGCGUAGAUAUUAGGAGGAACACCAGUGGCGAAGGCGGCUUACUGGACUGUAACUGACGUUGAGGCUCGAAGGCGUGGGGAGCAAACAGGAUUAGAUACCCCGUAGUC